rnacentral:lncRNA from 1 species
AACUUUCACUAUAGUCCAUUUUUUCUCCCUCAACUCCAAAACUGGGUACACCAACUCUCUCAACUCUUCAAACUGUGUAUUUUACCUCCCUGGAGUGGUUUUGAAGGCGGUUUUGCUACAGUGGUGGUGGUUUUGUCUUUUUCUUUUUUUUAUUUAUUUCAGCUAAAUCUUUAAAAAAUCAUAGAAAACCAAAUAAAAAUCAUAAAAUAGAAAAUCUAAUUUCGUUGGACUCCGACGAAUAGAUGUACACAGUGAACACAUAAUAUGAUAUGUUUUAGUACAAUUUUUUUGCUAUGAAGGUUUUGUCUUUUUAUUUAAUUUAUUUUGACUA